rnacentral:misc_RNA from 1 species
GAUGAAGAACGUAGCGAAAUGCGAUAAGUAAUGUGAAUUGCAGAAUUCAGUGAAUCAUCGAAUCUUUGAACGCACCUUGCACCCUUUGGUAUUCCGAAGGGUAUGCUCGUUUGAGUGUCAUUGUACUCUCACACUUCUAAUUCCUUUCGGGAUUGGGAGCGGUGGACUUGGGUGUUGCUGCUUUAGUUGUGGCUCACCUCAAAUAAGUUAGUGCAACUCUUGGUUGGACAUAGUACGGCGUGAUAAGUGUCUUCGCCGGCGCCUCUGUAAGGAGGGUGGCCGAUCGGGAGCUCUGUGCUUCAAACCGUCCUCGGACAAUCUUUGACAACUUGACCUCAAAUCGAGUAGGACUACCCGCUGAACUUAAGCAUAUCAAUAAGCGGAGGA